AAAUUGUCCCGCGAGAGUUGCUAGGCAACAGUCUGGGAUUACUUUGGCUUAGGGUUGACUGCCCAACUCCGGGCAGAAGAAAGGAGCCUCCGGCGUCCUGGCUCUUCCGGGAACGGGUGGCGGGUGUGGACAACCCUGACGUGCAAGCGGGGAGGCGACUUGGACGAGCAAAGUAAGUAUCAUCGUGCCCGGCAGUUGCGGGCCGGGAGUAGCGCAGCCACCCGGAAAAAUACUUUCACGUACGACCCAAUAAUUGAUGGUGAAGAUUAACAUUUGAAUUAUUUCAAGAUGAGCUUCCUAUUGCCCACACUGACCUGCAAAAAGGAAGUAGACCAGGUGAUAAAAAGUACUGCUGAGAAGGUGUUGGUGCUCAGGUUUGGGAGAGAUGAAGAUCCUGUCUGCCUGCAGCUAGAUGAUAUUCUUUCUAAGACCUCUUCUGACCUAAGUAAAAUGGCUGCUAUAUACCUGGUAGAUGUGGACCGAACUCCCGUUUAUACACAGUAUUUUGACAUCAGUUAUAUUCCAUCUACCGUCUUUUUCUUCAAUGGGCAGCAUAUGAAAGUGGAUUAUGGGUCUCCAGAUCACACUAAGUUUGUGGGAAGUUUCAAAACAAAACAAGACUUCAUAGAUUUGAUUGAAGUAAUCUAUCGAGGAGCAAUGAGAGGAAAACUUAUUGUCCAAAGUCCUAUUGAUCCCAAGAAUAUUCCCAAAUAUGACCUUCUCUAUCAAGACAUUUAACACACUAACUGCUGUCAAAGACAAAGAGAAAGACACGUCUGGAAACAGUACCUGAAUCCCAGCUGUGCUAUUUUUCUGGAGUCCUUCAGAAAUGUGUCCAGUGUCCAGCAGAGAAGGGGUUUGACAAAUGUGCAUAUAGAGUUCUGGCCCCUGGGGAGAUCGCUCCUCAGCUCACCUGAGAUGCCUAAUGUCUGCUCCCUGCGAACCUCAGAGCAGUCAACCAGUCACUUUCCCCAGGGUGGUUUUUUUACCUUCUUUUUUAAAUGGUGUGCUUUCCUUAUACCUGAAGAUAAUUCAGAAUCUUCCCAAACAUUGUCUAAUAAGCAAUUCAAUUUAACCAUGUUUAUUUGAUACACAAGUAAAUUGGAAAGUCAUGCCCAUAGGAGCAAAAAUACAUAUUUUCUACACUAGAUGUGCAUACAGACAUAUACACACACACACACACAAAAGCUCCAGUCCUUAUUACCUAAUUUCUCUUAGAAUAAUUAAUUCUCUACUGAAUAGAGAAUAGCUCUUCUUGCCCAUUUUAUUUUAGAGCCUUGCUGGCUCUGACUAUUAGAGCACUACCAUGUUUGGCUCAUUUAACUCGCUUUUAUGUUGUUACAUUGCCAAAGAAGUGAGAACUUGAACCUACCUCUAGUACCAAAUUUGAGAGAAACAAAGAAUUAACCACUCUUAGUAAGUAGGUACAGAUCUCUCCCAGAAGUUGCUGCCCCUUCCUGAGGCACAGAAUUGUACUUCCAGGGCUCAAAUCUAAAAGAGAUGUCAUAAUUGUUAGAAAGAAAUGUCACUGUUGGGGGAUUUGCCUAUUUUAAAAACUUUAUGAGGAAUUCUUACUAUUCCAGGGUCACCUAGUACAACUUUGGUCAAGUUACUUCUCUUUUCAAAACCUCAAGGUGUUGACCUUCUAGGAUGAGAAAAUGGGUGGAGAGCUGGAGGGCACUGGGCCACCUUAUCACCUGCUUAACAGCCCCUGACCACCUUGGGAACAGAAGCCCCAUUCUGUUCAGGACAGCACUGUCACUGAAAGUUCCACCCUUUUUACCAGCAGCUUCCUUUCUAAGCCUCUCCUGCAGGAGGGGUGACUGCAGGACUUGGUUCUGGCCAGCAUAGAGGGAAGACUUCUAGGUUGAUAAAAAAAGAGAGCCACUCCAGGAAUAAGGCAAAAUAAAUCCUGUCACCACCACCUCUGUCUUCUCUCCUCUAUAUCCUUUUGAUGUUAAUCAUGAUGCCAUCUUAGGACCAUGAGGCUGCCAACCUCAGGGUGAAAAUACUCAGUGUGCUGAGAACGAUCGAAAGAGCCUGGUCCCCAGUGAUGUUAUUGAGCUACUGAGUGAACUCUAGACCCAGCUCCUUCCAAUUUCCAUAAAAGAAUAAAAUGUCUUCAUUGCAUAAGUCACUGGUAGUCAGAUUUUAUGUUCCUUUGUCCAAAUCCCACAGUAUUUAAUCUAGUAAGUACUCAGAUGGAAAAACUCCAAACUUGCAUGUGGAAAAUUCUCCUGUCUUUCCUUCCAAAGGCUCUGGAGAAUUUUUCUCAGAAGUCCCGUAUUUUUGACCCUUCCCAGUUGCUUUCCAUGCUGUAAGUAUUUACUGAGUAUGUCCUGUAUGUCCCAUCCUGUGCUAAGUGCUGUGUAGAUACAAAUGACUCAUGUAGAAAGGGGAGGGAAUUUCAGCACUGAGGAAAAAGGCCCCAGGGGCUGGAAGAUGGCAGGGGGUGUCCAGGACAGCAAGGGCUGCUGGACAGAGAGGUCAGUGAUCAAGAAAAUGCCAGGGGUUUUCUGUUGUCAUUAUUUUGCUCGUGAGUAGUGACCAGAAACCACUGAAUACACUUGGUAAUUCUAAGUGUUUGACUAUUUUUUUCCAGUAUCUGGCUGUUACCUGUUUACCAAGUUCUAGAAUGAAAGGUCCAUGUCUUCACUGGUCUGCUAGCUCUAACCUGUUGAAAUUUACCCAUGGAUCUUGAGAGUGCAUGUGAGAGAACUGCACAGUAAAGGCCAGACCCUGAUGAGCGAGAGAGCCACCAGUGACACUGCACCAUCAGGAGGAGAAUCUGUAUUUUUGGCAUGAGAAGGGGAUGUGUUGUGGAAAGGGAUGGUCUUGGUGACUUUGCCCUGUCUGGGUGCCUCCGUGCUCCUUCAUUUCAGUGGUCUUGAUAAGAAGCCCCCAGGGAUGGCCCACCUUUGUGCUUUAUCCUCGAUCGAGGCAUCCGGCAGAGAUCAGCCUGUCUGCCUCCCCACAGUGGCCCAGGGGUUGGAACCACGGUGGGAACCACCCUUAACAGCAAGACCCCUGUCUUUGGAAGGAAAUGGUAUAUCAAAUCCCCAAAUGUCAAAGAUUACCUGGACGAGAACUGGCUUCCCGAGAGCAGGGUGCACAAGCCUCACUUCCCACCUGACCAGCUCACUGACGG